rnacentral:rRNA from 1 species
GACGAACGCUGGCGGCGUGCUUAACACAUGCAAGUCGAACGGUAAGGCCCUUUCGGGGGUACACGAGUGGCGAACGGGUGAGUAACACGUGGGUGAUCUGCCCUGCACUUUGGGAUAAGCCUGGGGAACUGGGUCUAAUACCGGAUAGGACUACGCGAUGCAUGUCGUGUGGUGGAAAGCUUUUGCGGUGUGGGAUGGGCCCGCGGCCUAUCAGCUUGUUGGUGGGGUGAUGGCCUACCAAGGCGACGACGGGUAGCCGGCCUGAGAGGGUGUCCGGCCACACUGGGACUGAGAUACGGCCCAGACUCCUACGGGAGGCAGCAGUGGGGAAUAUUGCACAAUGGGCGCAAGCCUGAUGCAGCGACGCCGCGUGGGGGAUGACGGCCUUCGGGUUGUAAACCCCUUUCAGCACAGACGAAGCGUAAGUGACGGUAUGUGCAGAAGAAGCACCGGCCAACUACGUG